rnacentral:rRNA from 1 species
AGCUCCAAUAGCGUAUAUUAAAGUUGUUGCAGUUAAAAAGCUCGUAGUUGGAUUUCUGGUUUUUGUUUUUCCCCACUCGAUUGAGUGUUGAGGAUAGAUGAAAUGCCAUUUUUUGUAAGGAACUAUAUCUGUACUUAAUUGUAUGGUUUAGGAAAUUACAUCGUUUACUGUGAAAAAAUUAGAGUGUUUAAAGCAGGCAUUUUUGCUGUGAAUACAUUAGCAUGGAAUAAUAAGAUAGGGCUUUGGUGCUAUUUUAUUGGUUUGCACACCAAAGUAAUGAUUAACAGGAACAGUUGGGGGUAUUCGUAUUUAGUUGUCAGAGGUGAAAUUCUUGGAUUUACGAAAGACGAACUACUGCGAAAGCAUUUACCAAGGAUGUUUUCA